GGAGCGUUGAACAUAUCGUGACAAGUAGUUUCCGCGCGCUGGAGAGCGUGUGAAUUGCGCCUAAUUACCGUGUCCGGUGGCGCCUCUACGUAGCCCUGUGUAACCCCUCAGCUUCUGGGGUGCGGGCUCUGCCGCGCCGCUCUCCCUGGCCCGGGCGCGAGGCAAGACCCACUUUCCCAAGUGGCCCUGGCGGCCCGGGGCGAAAUGGGGGCAGGUGACAUUUCAAUUACCGCGACCGGGGCGGGGUUGCAACGCGCGCGGAGAAGGUGCCAAGACUCUUUUCCAGCUUCCUUCCGGCUGUUUCCGCGUCCCCAAGCCGACGCAUUUGGGGUAGUCAGGAGCCUGUUUUGAUUUUUUCUGCUGCAGCCUUUAAAGCGCAAAUUGUUUAAAAUGUUCUGAUACGAUAAGGCCUCACUCACAAAGAUCCUCUUGGAAGCCGGACGCGCACCCGUGUGUCCAUCCUUCGGCCCAGAGACAAGGUCGCCGCAGCCCCCAGGAGUAGUUUUAACUUCCGACUCACUCUCCGGGCCUUACGUCAGGGCCCUGCGUUGCAGCUCAGUCUGCAGAGAGUAAUGAAAAUUCGCUUCAUUAGCCAGA